rnacentral:rRNA from 1 species
AUGGUAGGAUAGAGGCCUACCAUGGUGGUAACGGGUAACGGGGUGUUAGGGCACGACACCGGAGAGGGAGCCUGAGAAACGGCUACCACAUCCAAGGAUGGCAGCAGGCGCGCAAAUUACCCAAUCCCGACACGGGGAGGUAGUGACAAUAAAUAACAAUACGGGGUUCUUUAGGAUCUCGUAAUUGGAAUGAGUACAAUUUAAAUCUCUUAACGAGGAACAAUUGGAGGGCAAGUCUGGUGCCAGCAGCCGCGGUAAUUCCAGCUCCAAUAGCGUAUAUUAAAGUUGUUGCAGUUAAAAGGCUCGUAGUUGAAUUUCGGGGUCAGUAGGUCGGUCGUGCCACUGGUAUGAACUGGUUUUACUGAUUCCUCCCUCUUGAAGAACUGUAAUGCCAUUAAUUUGGUGUUGCAGGGAAUCAGGACUGUUACUUUGAAAAAAUUAGAGUGUUUAAAGCAGGCUUUAGCUUGAAUACAUUAGCAUGGAAUAAUGAAAUAGGACGUUUGAUCCUAUUUUGUUGGUUUCUAGGAUUGACGUAAUGAUUAAUAGGGAUAGUUGGGGGCAUUAGUAUUCAAUUGUCAGAGGUGAAAUUCUUGGAUUUAUUGAAGACUAACUACUGCGAAAGCAUUUGCCAAGGAUGUUUUCAUUAAUCAAGAACGAAAGUUAGGGGAUCGAAGACGAUCAGAUACCCUCGUAGUCUUAACCAUAAACUAUGCCGACUAGGGAUCGGAUGAUGUUAAUUUUUUAAUGACUCAUUCGGCGCCUUACGGGAAACCAAAGUGUUUGGG